GAUGAACGCUAGCUAUAGGCUUAACACAUGCAAGUCGAGGGACCGGCGCACGGGUGAGUAACGCGUAUCCAACCUGCCCAUAACUAAGGGAUAACCCAGCGAAAGUUGGACUAAUACCUUAUGGUUAUGGAUGGUGAUGCGUCUGAUUAGCUUGUUGGAGGGGUAACGGCCCACCAAGGCAACGAUAAGUAGGGGUUCGUAGAGGAAGUGCCCCCACUGUUAAACUUAUACCAGUUCCAAAAGCCUACUGUAGGUAGCAGUGAGGUAUAUUGGUCAAUGGACGCAAGUCUGAACCAGCCAAGUAUCGUGCAGGAUGACGGCAUAUGGGUUGUAAACUGCUUUUAUAUGGGGAUAGGUACCAUAUGAAUAAGGACCGGCUAAUUCCGUGCCAGCAGCCGCGGUAAUUC
rnacentral:rRNA from 1 species